UGAUGUAGCAGUCUCUUGGUUUACUGUCCCUAAUUGCAUGUUACGAGGAUCUGUUAAGGCCCAUUUACACGGUACGAUUAGUUGUAUACAAUUCCUACUCUGGCGUAAUGUGAUCGAAUAAACACGCGUACAAACGUCACAUUUCAAAUUUCGCCAUCAGCGAAUGAGCAAUAUAAACGUGGCAUUAGCACUCGUUUUCAUUCGUCAGAAUAACAAUCGUAUCACAGAUAGAUACAGGAC